AGUGAACGCUGGCGGUAGGCCUAACACAUGCAAGCCGAACGGCAGCACAGUAAGAGCUUGCUCUUACGGGUGGCGAGUGGCGGACGGGUGAGGAAUACAUCGGAAUCUACUUUUUCGUGGGGGAUAACGUAGGGAAACUUACGCUAAUACCGCAUACGACCUACGGGUGAAAGCAGGGGAUCUUCGGACCUUGCGCGAUUGAAUGAGCCGAUGUCGGAUUAGCUAGUUGGCGGGGUAAAGGCCCACCAAGGCGACGAUCCGUAGCUGGUCUGUGAGGAUGAUCAGCCACACUGGAACUGAGACACGGUCCAGACUCCUACGGGAGGCAGCAGUGGGGAAUAUUGGACAAUGGGCGCAAGCCUGAUCCAGCCAUACCGCGUGGGUGAAGAAGGCCUUCGGGUUGUAAAGCCCUUUUGUUGGGAAAGAAAAGCAGCAGGUUAAUACCCCGCUGUUCUGACGGUACCCAAAGAAUAAGCACCGGCUAACUUCGUG
rnacentral:rRNA from 1 species